rnacentral:tRNA from 1 species
GGCAGCUUGGCCGAGUGGUUAAGGCGACAGACUCGAAAUCUGUUGGGCUCUGCCCGCGUAGGUUCAAAUCCUGCAGCUGUCG